CUGUGUCCGGAGGAACCGGGCUCUCACCGGUCAGGGCUGCCCUGCACCUGAGCGGGAGGCCCUGGAACAGGACACACGAGCCCUCUGCUCACUGCACAGGCAGGGACAAUGCCCUUGAAUGGGGAGAGGACGCUCCCGCACUGCGGUGGCCGGUGGAGGGACUAGAGCUGGAACAGAUGGAGCCCAGAAUACAGGGAACCGGAAAUGCAGGAUAGAAACUAUGAAGCGACAACAGAUGGGGCAGAGAGGUGACAUUCAGGCACCCGACCUGGUGGAGAAGUUCUCUGGCUCCCCCCGGGGAAGGCGGGACCCCAGGAACCGGCUGCACACUCACACAGGUGCCCCAGCAACGCACACUUCCGGUGGGCCUGUAUUUGUGGUUGCUGUUGUCCUACCAUUAUCACAUCCGAAAGCAGAGAGCUCGUUGCCCCGACCUGCAGUCUGGCCCAGUGUGCCCCACCGUCGUGGAGUAGAGAAUGGCCGGUAGUAUCACUAGCGGAGUCGCAAUACUGAGCUGUAGCCGCUCCGAUUUUAUCUAUUCUUUUUUUUUUUUUUUUGAUGUACAUUUAUGUUUUCUUUUUUAACGAUGAUGGACAAUGUCGAAGUGCACUUUUUCGGCGAAUUUCUCCUGCUUGUGGAGGAUUUUCUGUCUCUAGCAAUGGACUUGUGGGCUGUAGCCUAUGUGAGUCUUCAAGCUUUAACAGGUAUCGCUAAAUUGUUCCACAAAGAAAUUGCCCCAGUUCCCAUAACCACGUCUUGCAUAUUCCAGCAGGCUUUUCCUUGCGGGGCCUCAACUUUGAAAGCAGAAAACAGAAAUAUAAGCCAAGGAAAGAAAAUGGCUUUGAGAAUACAUUUAGUUAUCAGUGGAACUUACUGCAGACUGUUUACUUUCCAAUCUGAAGGCGUUUCUCCUGUGUGAUCACCUCCCUUCAAAUACAGUCAGUGCAUCGUGGUCAAGCCCUGGUGCCGAGGCGUUUGGGAGCGCGGCUGCAAAGGCGUCCAUGCGAAAGGACUUCUCUGAGACUUUGAAGAAGAACUGGGAAGCUAAGACAUACACUAUAGAUAAAAGUUAAUUAUUUAAAUAACGCGUUAGCAGAAAGAGAGAAAAGAUAUCACUGGAUAGUGCUGACUCAUCACUGAAUGAGUUGAGCCUACAUUAAUUCUAUAGAGGUUUCAAGACGGGGAAGUCAGAGCCUGUGUGAUUCCAAUUUGCCAUAGAAUGGUUUCCUAGCAACCAUCACUAGAUGAGAAUCAGCUAACUCUGCUUUUUGAAGCAGACUUUAGUCCCUUAGAAAAAAUGAGUUAAAUAAAUGCCAGCUUAAAGUAGAAUUUGACCA
rnacentral:lncRNA from 1 species